rnacentral:rRNA from 1 species
AGCGAACGCUGGCGGCAGGCUUAACACAUGCAAGUCGAGCGGGCAUAGCAAUAUGUCAGCGGCAGACGGGUGAGUAACGCGUGGGAACGUACCUUUUGGUUCGGAACAACACAGGGAAACUUGUGCUAAUACCGGAUAAGCCCUUACGGGGAAAGAUUUAUCGCCGAAAGAUCGGCCCGCGUCUGAUUAGCUAGUUGGUGGGGUAAAGGCCCACCAAGGCGACGAUCAGUAGCUGGUCUGAGAGGAUGAUCAGCCACAUUGGGACUGAGACACGGCCCAAACUCCUACGGGAGGCAGCAGUGGGGAAUAUUGGACAAUGGGGGCAACCCUGAUCCAGCCAUGCCGCGUGAGUGAUGAAGGCCCUAGGGUUGUAAAGCUCUUUUGUGCGGGAAGAUAAUGACGGUACCGCAAGAAUAAGCCCCGGCUAACUUCGUGCCAGCCGCCGCAGUAA